AUCAACAUUUUAGUGGCCUUUUUUUAUUUAAAAAAAAUAACAACUUGGCUGAAUACCUUAUGCCAAAGUCAUGACAGAGAAUUGAAACUGGUAUAUCGAAAGGAAGAGGCAGGUGUUUUGCAGUUGGCAUUUACCUUUGUCUACAUGCACUUUUAAGUCCAGAUAGGCCACAGCUGAGCUGGCGAGCACAAGCAAACAGAUUGCUCUUCCGAAUCAUGAAGCCAGUAUCAGGAUGUCCUUCCACAGAAAAGCGACAAUGUUUUCAUGAAUGUGGACUUGGACAAAUACUGCAUAUAUAUUAGUAGGCCAGCAUUUAUUAUAAUUUGUCAGUAUGGAUUGAUGUUUUAAAUAGUCAUUGGAGUUGACUUUUAAGCCUACCAUUACCAUGAUAACUGUGACUGCAUAUAAAAAUUGGAAUUAAUUUUGUCUUAUCUAAAUGUUAACAUACAGUUAGCCUACCGUGCAUGUUUUCAUUCAAAGGACACAGCUUUCAAUAAAGUUCAUCACAUUGAGCUAGCACUUGAUAACAACUGUUGUGCUAUUCUUGGUAUGUGAGACUUAUCUGCUGCAUUUGAAGUUAUUGACCAGCUGAUUCUGAUUGAACAUCUUGAAUACUUCUACAGAAUAUCUGUUAUGCCAUUUCAUUGACAAGAUUUUACUGAAGCAACUGAACAUAAAUUAUCACAAAACUCUCUAUUAAGAUUACCACAAGGCUCUCUAUUAAGAUAACCACAAGGCUCUCAAUUAGGAUUACCACAAGGCUCUCAACGAGGAUUACCACAAGGCUCUCAACUAGGAUUACCACAAGGCUCUCAAUUAGGAUUACCACAAGGCUCUCAAUUAGGAUCACCACAAGGCUCUCAUUAGGAUUACAACAAGGCUCUGUAUGAGGAUAACCACAAGGCUCUCUAUUAAGAUUACCACAAGGCUUUCAAUUAGGAUUACCACAAGGCUCUCAAUUAGGAUUACCACAAGGCUCUCAAUUAGGAUGACCACAAGGCUCUCAAUUAGGAUUACCACAAGGCUCUCUAUUAGGAUUACCACAAGGCUCUCAAUUAGGAUUACCACAAGGCUCUCUAUUAGGAUUACCACAAGGCUCUCUAUUAAGAUUACAACAAGGCUCUGUAUGAGGAUAACCACAAGGCUGGUUUGACAUAUAUAAUUGCAUAGAUGAGUUCAAAUUAGAUAUGCUUACAUUAAAUCAAGACAAAACUGAACAUAUUGUUUUUGCUCUUAAGCAACUAAAAAUGGACAUAUUAGAUUUCUGGCUUGCUUUCGUUGAAUCUUCAGUGUGUAAUGCUUAAUUUGUUAAUAGGUAUAUAGGUAUAUUUAUACAGUUGUAAUGAUUAUUCAUUCUGUAAUUUUAUGUAGUUUUAUUGUAUCAACCUUUUUAUUUUAUCUGAUGUGACAUAUUUUAGUUUGUUAAUUGACAAGAUUAUUCAACAUUUCAUGACAUAUAUAAGUGUGAUUUGAAAAUAGCCCCGUCCCCUCAGACAACCAUUUCAAUUUUUAAAUGAUAUUUUGAAAUCUAGUAUAAAUAUUAGUUAAAGGAACCUGCAAGAUAAGAUUUUUCUUUGUUUAAUUUGUAAUGAUCAGUUAAAGAGGAUAACUUUUGUGUAUUUGUCCAUCUUCACCUUCUAUCCAAAACUUCCUCCUGAACAUGCAUGCAAUAUAUGACACUGGACGUAAAGCAACCAACAAUCACUCAAUCCAAAGUCCAAUACGAUAUAAUCUGAAAGUGAUUCAUGUAUGAAGGGUUGGGUUUUGAUAAAUCACAGAAUAAGAUGAUUUAAAAGAACAAGAGUUUAGGGAUUGCUGCAGUGAUUGGUAAGAUAGACAUAAUUUGGUUUCUAUGGCACCUUCAUCAGAAUUAAAACUACAGAGGUAUACUAAAGCCUGAAGAAAAAAUUAGUAUUUUACAAUGUCACCAUCAGGAGAAAUUAUAAAUAGGUAGUGAAAGUAGAUGUGAAAGAUAACUUGAUCAAGAAUGUUUAAUAAAAUAUGUUUUUUUAUAAAUUUGGACGACAUUUUACUUGCAAUUAUGUAUCAUUUCCUACAUUGGAAAUAGUACAGACUUGCAGUCCUGUACCAAUUCAACACUUGAAGAAGUAUGUACGGUUGUCUGAGCGAAGCCAAUUGGAAGCAUGUACCUCUUAGUGAAGCUAAUUGGGAGUGUACCCUCUGUCCUUGCGAAGCCAAUUGGAAGCAGUGCAUAUAUAUCUCUGUCUGCUAACACUAAUUGGAAGUAAUGUACCACUGGCAGAGCGGUCCCAAUUAGAGGCAUGUAACUCUGAGCGAAGCCAAUUGGAAGCAUGUACCUCUGCAAAAUUAAUUAAACACUUUUAAACAAAUUUUAUUUAACAUUCUUUUUAAAGUUUACUUUCAUACCUACUUUCAUUUUCUAUUUAUGAUUAUUCCCCCUGUUGACACUUUGAAGUGCAAAUUAUUACUUCACCAUUUUGUACUCAUCUGUAGUUCUUAUUCUGAUGAAGGUGUCCUAGAAAUUAAAACAUGCAAACAUCUUUAAAUACUCCAACAAUCCCUGACAUUUAUUAAUUCAUAUGAACAAAUUGUGCAACGAUAUCAGUUUGUUUAUUAACAUUUGUAACAAUGAAUAAUCAUAAUAUCCUUGACAUAAAAUGUUUAUUAACAUUUGUAACAAUGAAUAAUCAUAAUAUCCUUGACAUAAAAGUAACUAUAAGUCACCUAAUAGAAUUUACUAGAAACAAAGUACUUUUAAAAUGUUGCACAAAAUAGAUUUAAACAGUAGCCUAAAGUACUUAAUAUGACAACAGAUAGAUUUUACUAUUUAUAAGUACUUAAAAUAACACCAUAUAGAUUUGAAUAGAAACAUUAAGUACUGUAUAUGGCACCAAAUAGUAUGAAAUAAUUCAUUUAUCACAACCAACAUAAUGUAAAAUAAUCUGUUUCAUUGAUACAUGAGCUCUGUAUCUGUAAAAAAAAAAACUUAUUGCAUGUUUUCAUUGUAUUUAGUUAAUUAAUCUGUAUGCAAAUUA